rnacentral:precursor_RNA from 15 species
UAUACACCCGCCCUCGGAGAUGUCACGCAGGUGCAUUGUAGUCGCAUUGUCUGUCCCACUUGCUCCAGGCAAUACAACUGCAGUGCAAGCUCUGUGCAUUUCACAAACAACGCCAACUUUC